GGUUGAUCCUGCCAGUAGUCAUAUGCUUGUCCUAAAGAUUAAGCCAUGCAUGUGUACGUUCAAGCCCUUGUACGGUGAAACUGCGGAUGGCUCAUUAUAUCAGUGAUAAUUUGGUUGAUGGAGAGAUAUCGUGGAUAACCGUGGUAAUUCUAUGGCUAAUACAUGUGGAGCAGACGCAAGUCUGGCAUUUAUUAGAUAAAGCCUUGGCGGCGGGGAGACUCGCGGCUGCGGUGAGAGAUGAUAACUGGGCGGAUCGCGCGGUGCGCGACGCAUCAAGGAAAUUUCUGCCCUA
rnacentral:rRNA from 1 species